CAUUAGAUGACUGAAAGCAAGUAAUGA
rnacentral:tRNA from 1 species